CUGAUGUUCAAAUGGAAUAUUCUGUGUUCCAGUUUGUGCCCAUUGUCUCUGGUCCUGUAACCAGGCAACACUGAAAACAGCCUGGCUCCAUGCUGCUGGCACCCUCCCUUCAGGAAUCUAUAUCUGUCAGCGAGAUUCUCCUGUGCCUACUCCAGGGUAAAGAGUCCCGGCUCUCUCAGCCUGUGCUCACAGCAGAGAUGCUCCUGUUCCUUUAUCAUCUUCACACUUCUUCAUUGGACUCUCUCCAUGUUUCUCUUGCACCAGGGUACAUGGCUUGUUCAUGUUCAGCUUGCUUUUCACCAGAACCCUCAAGUCCUUUCUUCAAAGUUGUAUAUAUUUUUGUUCAUGGAACAUCUGUUUUGUCAGGUGGUUUUUCACCCACAGGGGAUGGAGGGUAACGGUUAAACAAAAAAAUAAUAAUUUUCCCAAGUAAAAAGGACAAAAAAAAAAAAUAGGGCUGGUAUGAGAAUGACUAGAAAAAAUGCAGACAUUUUGGAGCCUGCUCCAGCAGCUGUGCUUCUGUGUUCAGGAACAAUUGAGUUACUACAUCCUGAUGACUCAGAAGGUCAAUAAAUACUGGAAUGUCUUUAUCACCAAAUCA